UAGAAAUUCUAGAUCUAUAUCUAAGUAAGUAGAUCUAAUAAUAGUUUAUUAGUAGGCUAAUAUGAUUAUCAAAGUAUUAAGUAAAAAAAAGGUUAAAAUGAUAAUGGAGAGAUUUUACAUCACUGAGACAUGCUGAAAAUGGAAAACCAUACAUUUUGGGGCAGAUUAAUAUCAAAGCUACGACAAAGGACUUCUAGUGCCUUCUACAGUUUUGAGCACAAUACUCAAAGCCAACACUCUAGAUCUAACCAAAGAUUUUUGCAGAGAACAAAAUCAACGCCAGUUUGUGAAACAUCUGGAGAAACUAAUUAUCCAAAAUAUCGAUCCACUAAUGAAAGCUUCAUACCAAAAUGUCUUACAGGGAUAAAUGUUCAGAAUGUACUGUUUGGUCAUGGUUCAAUUGAGAAUUUUUCUCCCAACUGUUGGCUUGAAAAUAAUCUCCAUAGGUUUGGGAGACUAACAGAUGAGCCAGAACAUGACACAGUAAAUGAUUCACUUAACAAUCCACUGUCACCAGACUCAUUCAUAUCAUCAGUUCGAGCCAUUGUGAUGAGCAAUCAAAUAAACACUUUAAACCAAGCACUAUCUAGCAGCAGUGAGAGCAUUAUUUCUUCACUGGCUUCCAGCACAAUAUCAGAUGUGACCAACUUUUACCACAAUUUAAAUCUAUCAGGUUAUGCCUUUGAUCCUGAAGCGAUACCUCAAGACCCUCCUCCCUAUUCUGAACUCUCUGAUGAUCCUCCACCACCUUAUACAGAUUCUUCUUUCACUGUGAUAAAUGAUAGAAGCCAAUCAAAUCAGUUACAUAGCGCAAGUUUUCAGGUUUUUGCCGAUGAUGCAUGCUUGUAUUGACCGUUUUAUGUCUCCUCACACUUUUUAAAACUCAAAUAUUAAUAUUAAGUAAAAUAUUAAAAUUCUGUGAUAAGGAGUAAAAAAUUGAAGUAAAGUAAUCAAAUGUUCUUUCAGUUAUACAACUUUAUGCUUGCAUAUUUUUGAUAGCUUAAUGUGUUUGGGAUCUGAUUAUAUUCAAAGCAUAAUCAUAUUAUAAAUGAAUCUUUUUGUGACUAUUAAAUUCAAAUUAUUAAAAUUGGUAAUGAAGGGUUUACUUAUCAAUUAUCAUACAUAUCUUAACAGUACUAGUAAUACCUCCUAUUAAUAAAUUAAUUCCUUUCUGACAUUUCAAAGGCCUACAUGCAGAGAAAUUUCAGUGAAAGCAUUAAAAAAGAAUUUUCCCUAUAUAUUUUUAAAUCUUAAAUUGUAUACCUCUAUAUACUGGUAACCAUGCAGAUUUGCCUCAUUCUAAUCUUGCAAUACUUAAAAUGUAUCAAAUUACUGUCUAUAAUUUAAUAGCUUUCAAUUUCCAAUAUUUGCUAGCAUAUGCUGUUGAAAAAUGUUGUAUUUCCUGUUAAUGUUUCUUUUUUUUUUUUGUAAUAUUUCCUUAAGACAAAGUCUUCCAAUAUGUAUUUGAUUGUAAAUUGUUAAAUAACUGUUUAUGACUUUAAUAUUUCAUAAGCACACUAAAAAUUUUAUAUUUUGUGAUAAAAGAAUAAAGACUGGAUUUAUUUCAAUAGUUUAAUUGAUAAAAUUAAACAGUAUAUAACAGUUACACCAACCAUGAAUUUCAUAAAUUAACACAAACAUGGAUAAAAACAUUGCAUAUAAGAUAUGCUUUAAAUGCUUGCACCUUAGACCAACUUCCACUCACACAAUUUUUUUUUACUCCUCUCUGUCAUCAGUUCUUUUUUUCUCCACAAUAUUUACAUUUUAAGAUUUUUUUCCUUCAAAUUUUUUUUUAAAUUGCAUUAUUUUUUCCACUUUGAUUCCACUUUUUUUCUUCCAAUCUUCUCAUUUUUUUUUUAAAUUUUUUUUUUUACAGUGAACAUUAAUCCCACCACCCCCAUCUCUUUAAUAUGCACUAAAGUUAUGUAGGGUGCAAAGUUAUCAAUAGAAUCAAACAAAAAUAAAUAUCUAGCAUGGCACCUGAAGUGCUGAUGCAAGCCUGAAAAAGAGAAAUACUCGUUAGUGUUUAAAAGAUAUGCCUGCAAAUAACUGGAGAGCGAUGUCCAAGAAUGCUUAAAGAAACAAUGCAAUGAGCAAGAAAGCUUCAAGAAAAGAAAUGGACGGUAUGGAAGACUAUUUUACGUUUGCAUGGAUUAACCCAGAGACUAUCGCAACUAAUCCCAUAAUUUGUGCCACGUGGAAUCAAACUGUAAAGAUGCUGUGGUAAAGCCUACAGCUAAACUUAAAUGCUGAAAACGCAAUUUGACUGGAUACUUCAUUAAAAUAUCUUAAGAUCUUAAAUUCAAUCUGAAUUUUUAAAAUAGUUUAGCAAUAUUUUUCUAGGUUUAUUUCUUUUUUUUUUUGCAGUGAAUGUUUCAAUAAGGACUGUAAUAAGCUGC